rnacentral:misc_RNA from 1 species
GAUCAUGGAGGAAGCAAAGGAUGACACAUGUGUGGGAUGUCGGCAUGUUUUAAUGAAAAUCAAGUUGCCAUAGACAUUUGUCCCUCGAAAACAUUACUUUCACGCGAGGGCAUUGUAGCAAAGAACCUGCGAUACUCCCAAAAUGGCCUCCAGUAAAGAAUCUCUAGGGGCCUUGGAGAAUCUCAUGAAUGAAUUUUUUGGGCCAGCCACAUCUAAUGAAAGAAAGAGAGAAAUAGAGGAAAUCCUACAAAAUUUUACUCAGACCAAAGAUUCUUGGCAGCACUGUCUGUACUAUCUAGGCAACACCAACAAUGAGUUUGUGAUGAUGUUCUGUUUGACUGCCAUUGAAAAUUUGAUUCACAAGCAAUGGGUUGGAUUUCAUGGACAAGCCAAACUUGAAAUACGUACCCGGUUGAACCAGUUCCUGCUUGACCACCACAAUCAUUGUCCAUCCUUUAUUAAGUUUAAACUGGUCAAACUUGUUGUGGACAUUGGCCGUAUAGACUGGCCACAUUUCUAUCCAGAUUUCUUCAGCAGUAUUUUGGAGUUGGUGCAACGAUCUGAGACCACCAUGCUUGGAAUAAUCCUGCUGCACACAGCCUCUGAGGAACUGGCCUCACCUCGCGAGGACCUCAGCAUGGACAGGAAAGAGGAACUACAGCGCCUCCUACUGGUGCAAGUACCCACUAUUCUUUGCCUCCUAAACACUACACUUGAAGCUAUACUGGAGAAGCACCGACACCUUGUGGCUGCCACGCCCCCUCCCUCCCCCACUCAGGGAGGGAACGAGACUCCUUCGCGAAAAUCCUCCUGGAUGUUGUUUUCCUCCUCGCCUGCAGCCGACAGUCUCCUAAGUAACAUGUUUAAAUCACCAGGAAAUCGUGUUCAAUUGGAGGCAUUGCCUCCCCUAGAUAACUCUUCAAAGGAAGUGUGUAGUCUAGCUCUACAUUGCCUCGCAGAGUAUUUCAGCUGGAUUCCACUGUCAUCCACCAUCACACCUUCAUUGCUUAGUACCAUAUUUCAUUUCGCAGGAUUUGGAUGUGAAGCCAAAAAAGCUGUUAAUUCCAAUCGGACCACAAACUUUAGUUCUGACACGUCGUCCCUGGGGAUUUGGGCGAUGAACUGUAUAAAUGAGCUUUUAUCAAAAAAUUGUGUUCCCCAGGAAUUUGAAGACUUUUUACUACAGAUGUUCCGACAGACUUUUUACCUGUUACAAAAGCUCACCAAGGAUAGCAGUACAAAUGCAACAGGGAAUAGGCUAUCAGAAAUUGAUGAAAGUUAUAUUGAAAAAUUCACAGAUUUUUUAAAGUUAUUUGUGAGUGUUCAUCUGCAAAGAUUUGAAGCCAACCUACAAUUUCCUGUUUUGGAGUUUCUAGCAUUACUACUCAAGUACACUUUUAGACAGCCAACAUAUGAAGGGUAUUUCAACUGCCUGGACACAUGGAAUACCUUCCUUGACUACUUGCACACCAAGUUAAAGGAGAGGACCACAGACAGCAAUCUACUCGUGGCCAGAUACCAGGAGGCGCUGCUGUCCCUAGUGUCUCACAUCCUACAGAAGUUACAGUUCCGCUUCAAUCAGUCACAGCUCGAGGAACUGGACGAUGAGGUUCUGGAUGAUGAUUCUGAAACAGAAUGGCAGCAUUUUCUACGGCAAAGUUUGGAGGUGGUUGCCAAAGUUGCAGAAAUUCUCACAGCAGAUGUUUUCAGGUUACUUUAUGAGCCGUUCCGGGAGCACCUGGAGAUCUACCUGGGACUGGAACGAUACUUGACUAAUGGUGGCCAGGGGCGACACCUGACAGUAACGGCAGAGAACGAGUGUCGUCGCCUUCACUGCUCCCUUCGCGACCUGUCAUCCCUACUUCAGGCACUUGGUAGGCUGGCAGAGCAUUUCAUCGGAGAGAAAUUCCCGGACAGAUUCACAGACGGGACCAUGCUGAUAUCAAGGUUGAUCCACACAGUGGUCUACGGUACAAAAACCCGCCUGUUUGAGGUGAUGUCAAGUGUACAGAAUGUCCUCCAUACAGACUUCAUUGGAGUCCAUGCUCAGGCGAUUGCAUCAGUGAAGGCAUUCGCUCAUUGGUUGGGUCAGUAUCACAGCGAGUCCCAGCGUGUACCGGAGGAGAAGGAGAAGUUUGCAACACUUACAUCAUCACUACUCGACUCUCUCCUACCUCUCAUCACUAAGGAGACGCCAGAGAAGAUAAUCCACUCUGCAGUCCACCUGGUGUUAUCUAUAGCCACUACAGUCCGGCCACGGUUCUUACUCCAACUGACCAGUAUUCAGUCCAUGUUCCAGGUGGCGAGCCAGGGAGGCUACGACCAUCUUUCCAACGAGGUUCAGCUGUUACUGUACCGAUCUCUGAGUCACUGCCUGCUGUUAGCCUGGCCUAAUUUGUCUGAUGGAGAACAAGACUGGGGCAGUCGUGCUGCCCACCACGUCACAUUUGUGGGUCAGCUGUCGCGCAACUUCCUUCAGCUCAAACCAAGGGUGGCUACUCUGGCCUCUAACAAGGCUCUACAGGAGGAGGCUAAACCAAUCAUUAAGAAGACACUGCACAUUUUUGAGGACUGGAUUGAGGCUAUAGCGGGAGAGGUGGUGCGAAGUAAACAGCUGUGUUACCAGUCCCUACAGGAAGUCAUACAGGUGGCGCUGUCAGUCUUUCCUGUCUACCUUCAGCAGCCAGAUGUUAUUGAUAACUUCAUGAGUUUUUUCUUGGCAUUAUUCCAAGGACUGAGGGUCCAGAUGGGAGUGCCAUUUACUGAGCAAACAAUUCAGACUUUUAUGGGGCUGUUCACAAGAGAACAGCUGGCAGAGACAAUCAGUCAUGGUAGCAGUGCAGCUCAGGGAGUAAUAGAGAAAUUUCUGAAGAUUUUAGAGCUGAUUGUACAGGAGCCAGGCUCUGCCUUCAAAGCUUUCCUACCCAAUGUGAUAUCUAUAUGUAUGGAUCAUGUAUAUCCCAUUAUUGCCCAGGUAAAUCUAUAUGUGAUAUCUAUAUGUAUGGAUCAUGUAUAUCCCAUUAUUGCCCAUGUAAAUCUAUAUGAUAUCUUUAUGUAUGGAUCAUGCAUAUCCCAUUAUUGCCCAGGUAAAUCUAUGUGAUAUCUUUAUGUAUGGAUCAUGUAUAUCCCGUUAUUGCCCAGGUAAAUCUAUAUGAUAUCUUUAUGUAUGGAUCAUGCAUAUCCCAUUAUUGCCCAGGUAAAUCUAUGUGAUAUUUUUAUGUAUGGAUCAUGUAUAUCCCAUUAUUGCCCAGGUAAAUCUAUGUGAUAUCUUUAUGUAUGGAUCACGUAUAUCCCAUUAUUGCCCAGGUAAAUCUAUAUCUGAUAUCUAUAUGUAUGGAUCAUGUAUAUCCCAUUAUUGCCCAGCGUCCAACUCCCGAUAUCAAACAAGGGCUGUAUGAGCUACUACACACUCUUUUGAUGAACAAUUGGCGACACUUCUUCAAAGG